AGGAACCUGCCUUCUAGAGGGGAAUAACAAUGAGAAAUCAUUGCUAAUACCGCAUAUGCCGAGAGAAUCACAUGGUACAAUCGGGAAAAGAGUAAUCUGCUAGAAGAUGGCCUUGCGUCUGAUUAGAUAGUUGGUGGGGUAACGGCCUACCAAGUCGACGAUCAGUAGCCGGACUGAGAGGUUGAACGGCCACAUUGGGACUGAGAUACGGCCCAGACUCCUACGGGAGGCAGCAGUCGGGAAUAUUGCGCAAUGGAGGAAACUCUGACGCAGUGACGCCGCGUAUAGGAAGAAGGUUUUCGGAUUGUAAACUAUUGUCGUUAGGGAAGAGAAAGGACAGUACCUAAGGAGGAAGCUCCGGCUAACUACGUGCCAGCAGCCGCGGUAAUACGUAGGGAGCGAGCGUUAUCCGGAAUUAUUGGGUGUAAAGGGUGCGUAGACGGGAAGAUAAGUUAGUUGUGAAAUCCCUCGGCUUAACUGAGGAACUGCAACUAAAACUGUUUUUCUUGAGUGCAGGAGAGGUAAGUGGAAUUCCUAGUGUAGCGGUGAAAUGCGUAGAUAUUAGGAGGAACACCAGUGGCGAAGGCGACUUACUGGACUGUAACUGACGUUGAGGCACGAAAGUGUGGGGAGCAAACAGGAUUAGAUACCCUGGUAGUCCACACCGUAAACGAUGGAUACUAGGUGUAGGAGAUAUUAAGUCUUCUGUGCCGUCGCAAACGCAGUAAGUAUCCCACCUGGGGAGUA
rnacentral:rRNA from 1 species